CGCGGGGACGAGGCGGCGGCGGCGAGGAUGAUGAUGUGCGCGGCGACUGCCUCCCCCGCCGCCGCCUCCUCCGGGCCCGGCGGGGACGGCUUCUUUGCAGCCGCCACCAUCUCUUCCUCCCCGGCACCGGGGGCGCUGUUCAUGCCGGUUCCUGACGGUUCGGUGGCCGCUUCGGGACUGGGGCUGGGGCUGCCUGCCACGGACUCCCGGGGUCAGUAUCAGCUGCUGCUGUCAGGCCGGGCCUUGGCGGAUCGCUACCGGAGGAUUUACACCACUGCGCUCAGUGACAGGGACCAGGCCGGCAGCAGCACUGGGUACCCGGCCUCCAGGAAUAAGAAAAUUUUAAAUAAGAAGAAAUUGAAGCGAAAACAGAAAAGCAAAUCAAAAGUGAAGACAAGAAGCAAGUCUGAAAACUUGGAGAAUACAGUAAUUAUCCCCGAUAUCAAACUACAUAGCAAUCCCUCAGCCUUCAACAUUUACUGUAAUGUACGGCAUUGCGUUUUGGAGUGGCAGAAAAAGGAAGCAUCACUGGCAGCUGCAUCGAGGAACUCUGUACAGAGUGGAGAAUCAGACAGUGAUGAGGAAGAGGAGUCCAGAGAGCUCCCCAUCAAGCUUCCAAAGAUUAUUGAGGUUGGGCUUUGUGAAGUCUUUGAAUUGAUCAAGGAGACUCGGUUUUCUCAUCCAUCCCUGUGUCUAAGGAGCCUCCAAGCCCUGCUGAAUGUGCUUCAAGGCCAGCAGCCAGAAGGCCUUCAAUCAGAGCCACCAGAGGUCCUAGAGUCUCUCUUCCAGCUCCUAUUGGAGAUUACAGUUCGGAGUACUGGGGUGAAUGACAGCACAGGGCAGUCCCUCACAGCACUCUCCUGUGCUUGCCUCUUUAGCCUGGUGGCCUCCUGGGGAGAAACAGGAAGGACACUUCAGGCCAUCUCUGCUAUCCUAACCAACAAUGGUAGUCAUGCUUGCCAAACGAUUCAGGUGCCAACAAUACUAAAUUCACUACAGAGAAGUGUACAGGCAGUGUUGGUUGGAAAGAUUCAAGUCCAGGACUGGUUUAGCAAUGGCAUUAAGAAAGCAGCUUUAAUGCACAAGUGGCCAUUAAAGGAAAUAUCUGUUGAUGAAGAUGACCAGUGUCUGCUUCAGAAUGAUGGAUUUUUUCUUUAUUUGUUAUGCAAGGAUGGAUUAUACAAAAUAGGCUCUGGAUACAGUGGAACAGUUAGGGGUCAUAUAUAUAAUUCUACAUCUCGUAUCAGAAACAGAAAAGAAAAGAAGUCUUGGUUAGGAUAUGCCCAGGGUUACUUGUUAUAUCGGGAUGUGAAUAACCACAGUAUGACAGCCAUAAGAAUAAGCCCCGAAACGCUGGAGCAAGACGGCACUGUAAUGUUACCAGAUUGCCACACUGAAGGUCAAAAUAUUUUAUUUACUGAUGGAGAGUAUAUUAACCAGAUAGCUGCUUCAAGAGAUGAUGGCUUUGUUGUCAGGAUAUUUGCCACAAGCACUGAGCCUGUGCUGCAACAAGAACUCCAGCUGAAGCUGGCCAGGAAGUGCUUACAUGCCUGCGGCAUAUCUCUGUUUGAUCUGGAGAAGGAUUUGCAUAUAAUAAGCACAGGGUUUGAUGAAGAGUCAGCCAUCCUUGGUGCAGGCCGAGAGUUUGCGCUAAUGAAAACAGCGAAUGGAAAGAUUUAUUACACUGGCAAGUACCAGAGUCUUGGAAUCAAACAAGGUGGUCCUUCAGCAGGAAAAUGGGUUGAAUUACCAAUUACCAAGUCUCCAAAGAUAGUGCAUUUCUCUGUGGGACAUGACGGCUCGCAUGCCCUUUUAGUUGCAGAGGAUGGAAGUGUGUUCUUCACAGGAUCUGCCAGCAAAGGAGAGGAUGGAGAGUCAGCUAAGAGCAGACGGCAGUCCAAACCCUAUAAACCUAAAAAGAUUAUAAAAAUGGAAGGGAAGAUCGUGGUGUGCACAGCCUGCAAUAACGGGAGCAGCUCUGUGAUCUCUAAGGAUGGAGAAUUGUACAUGUUCGGAAAAGAUGCCAUUUAUUCUGAUAGUUCAAGUUUAGUAUCUGAUUUGAAAGGCCAUUUUGUAACUCAGGUAGCAAUGGGCAAAGCUCACACAUGUGUUUUAAUGAAGAAUGGAGAGGUUUGGACAUUUGGUGUAAAUAAUAAAGGACAGUGUGGACGAGACACUGGUGCUAUGAACCAAGGAGGGAAAGGGUUUGGAGUUGAAAAUAUGGCAACAGCAAUGGAUGAAGACCUGGAGGAAGAACUAGAUGAGAAAGAUGAGAAGUCCAUGAUGUGCCCUCCAGGCAUGCACAAGUGGAAGCUGGAGCAGUGCAUGGUGUGCACCGUGUGUGGAGACUGCACAGGCUAUGGUGCCAGCUGCGUUAGCAGUGGUCGCCCUGAUAGAGUUCCUGGAGGGAUCUGUGGAUGUGGUUCAGGAGAGUCCGGCUGUGCUGUGUGUGGAUGUUGCAAGGCAUGUGCAAGGGAGUUGGAUGGUCAAGAGGCAAGACAAAGAGGGAUUCUUGAUGCAGUGAAAGAAAUGAUACCUUUAGACCUCCUUUUAGCUGUCCCUGUACCUGGGGUUAAUAUUGAAGAACAUCUUCAAUUAAGACAAGAAGAAAAACGGCAACGUGUCAUUAGAAGACACAGAUUAGAAGAUGGAAGAGGCCCCCUUGUAUUUGCUGGUCCUAUUUUUAUGAACCACCGAGAACAGGCUCUAGCCAGACUCAGAUCCCAUCCAGCUCAGCUAAAGCAUAAACGGGACAAGCACAAAGAUGCAAGCGGAGAAAGAGGGGAAAAGGACGCAAGCAAAGUCACAACCUACCCGCCCGGCUCUGUGAGGUUUGACUGCGAGGUCCGGGCAGUCCAGGUCAGCUGUGGAUUCCACCACUCAGUGGUUCUCAUGGAGAAUGGAGACGUCUAUACAUUUGGAUAUGGGCAGCAUGGCCAGCUGGGACAUGGGGAUGUCAAUUCCAGGUAGUGACAACUUUGUUUUAAUUUAUCUUCUUUUCCAUCUCCCUUCCUUUCUCUCCAUUCUAUAGUUUGGGAUAUUUCUCUCUCUGUCUCUCUCUGUCUCUGUCUCUGUCUCUCUCUGUCUCUGUCUCUCUCUCUCUCUCUCUCUCUCUCUCUCUCUCUCUGUGUGUGUGUGUGUGUGUGUGUGUGUGUGUGUGUGUGUGUGUACUGAAAUAAUGCUCUACUGCUCUCUGAAAACAUAGCUCUAGAGUUAUUUGAUGGUUCCUGGUUAUGUGGUUGUGUGCUUACAUGAGGUAGGUGAUUUUUAGUUAAAUGUGAAUAGUUGAUAGGCAUUUUAUGUCUAAGAGUGAGUAGAAUUAAUACAAAACUCAACCAUACUCUUUACAGAUAUUCUUUUUUUCCCCAAAGCGCUACAUGGCAAUAGAAAAGGUAGUGAACAUACCGGAUUGAAUUACAAAAACAAAAGUUUAUAGUGUGACUGGGAGUGUAGCUCAGUGGCACUUGUUAGACAUGUAGAGGGCAGUAGGCUCAUUCCUAUCACGGCAAGGAGAAGAGAAGGAAGGAAAGGGGUACUUGCUGGUAUUUCUGCCUAAUGUUUACAUAAUGACAUUGAAACUUUCAAACAACGUUAAGUGAAACCUGCUAGUGUCUCUGAUAUUCUGACUUACCAUAAGUAGCAGAAGCUCAACUGUCAGAGGCGAGCCCUGCAGUCAUAUUCACUCUUCUCUGUGGACAUGGGUAAUAGAGUUUGGAUUACUAACGCAACCAUAACUACUUUCUCAGUUAUAUUGCAGCCGGCUGUGACCACGUGAAGCAGGGUGAUAUGAGCAACUUGGGCAUUGUACAGUUCUUGUAGAUGGUGGCUUGAACUUAUGCAUGGUGGCAGGAUCUAAGAUGUCCUCAUAGAUGUCAUCAUUUGGACCUAUGGAGAAUGACAAAACUAGAUACCCUUUUGCUAUGGCCUUUGUUCAGUGGCCAAUGCAUACCUUAUAAUACAGUCAGAUGAGCUUUUGGCCAAAAGGAUACCUGUUUUUCUUUUCUCUUUUAAAAGAUUUAUUUAUUUUAUGUAUGUUAGUACACUGUUGCUAUCUUCAGACACACCAAAAGAGGGCAUCAGAUUCCAUUAUAGAUG
rnacentral:lncRNA from 14 species